rnacentral:rRNA from 1 species
UACAGAGGGUGCAAGCGUUAAUCGGAAUUACUGGGCGUAAAGCGUGCGCAGGCGGUGAUGUAAGACAGAUGUGAAAUCCCCGGGCUCAACUUGGGAACUGCAUUUGUGACUGCAUCGCUGGAGUGCGGCAGAGGGGGAUGGAAUUCCGCGUGUAGCAGUGAAAUGCGUAGAUAUGCGGAGGAACACCGAUGGCGAAGGCAAUCCCCUGGGCCUGCACUGACGCUCAUGCACGAAAGCGUGGGGAGCAAACAGG